UUGACCCUCACCGCAGCUCUAGGGCAUGCAUAUAAUAGUUGAACCCAUGAUAUAAAUUCAAUUCCAAAGCCCAUUCUCUUGAGUACCAGCCAUAAAUAACGCCAUUCCACGCUAUCAAACGCUUUGGCCGCAUCAAGAGAUGCGACCGCCGCGGUCGAGGCCUUUCUCUCCACUUCAACCAUGCGUG